rnacentral:lncRNA from 1 species
CUGCAUAGCAUGUCUGAUUAUUUAGAUUGGAUUCAGAUUCUAAUCUUCUGAUUUGUUUAAUUUAUUUAUUAAAUAAAUUAAAUUAGAUCAGAUCGUGUUGGGUACCCAUUUUAUACUUGAAAAGUUAAAACCCGUUAGAGUUAAAAUUUAAAAGUAGUGCCUAGCGUCCACAAUUACGAAUUAUGAUUAGUGAAUGGCACCUGUGAUG